rnacentral:rRNA from 1 species
CCUACGGGAGGCAGCAGUGGGGAAUAUUGGACAAUGGGCGAAAGCCUGAUCCAGCAAUGCCGCGUGAGUGAUGAAGGCCUUAGGGUUGUAAAGCUCUUUUACCAGGGAUGAUAAUGACAGUACCUGGAGAAUAAGCUCCGGCUAACUCCGUGCCAGCAGCCGCGGUAAUACGGAGGGAGCUAGCGUUGUUCGGAAUUACUGGGCGUAAAGAGUACGUAGGCGGUUAUUCAAGUCAGAGGUGAAAGCCCGGGGCUCAACCCCGGAACUGCCUUUGAAACUAGAUAGCUAGAAUCUUGGAGAGGUCAGUGGAAUUCCGAGUGUAGAGGUGAAAUUCGUAGAUAUUCGGAAGAACACCAGUGGCGAAGGCGACUGACUGGACAAGUAUUGACGCUGAGGUACGAAAGCGUGGGGAGCAAACAGGAUUAGAUACCCUGGUAGUCCACGCCGUAAACGAUGAUAACUAGUUGUUCGGGCACUUGGUGCCUGAGUGACGCAGCUACGCAUUAAGUUAUCCGUCCGUCGGGUAGGUACGGUCGCGAGAAGUUAAAACGUUAAAACGUUAGUAAGUUAGUAACGGUCGUGUUAGACGUGUUCCGAACGGACGACGACGAGGGGAGGUUAGGG